GAUUGAUCGUAACGUAUGUUGUGAAGAUGCCAGUUCUUUGAGUUGGUCGGAUAUUCUUGAUUGAUGAUUUUAUGUCUUAAAAACGGUUGAUGUGUCAAUUUUAUAAUUUCUUCAAAACCUGUAUGGGAGUGUAUAACAAUGUAGUUGAAAUAGGAUGAUGACCAGACACGUGGAUAUGGUUGUGUUUAAGUAUGCAUCCUGGAUUAAUGGUUAAGACACCACGCACACUGCUGUUGCUUUUGUGGUUGAUGUGGUUGACUAAAGCCAUUGGUUAUUGGACAGAGAUCUUCAAGUGACAUUGGUUGUCUCAGCAACGCCGCGAAAUAAGUCGACCUAUGGCCCAGGUACGUAGAUGAAAUAUGAUAUGUAGUUCAUCAAAAAUUAUUCCUCGCGGACUCAAAGGCACAAAAGCUGCUGGGUGGUACUGCGAUGCUUCACACCUUAAUUGUGCCGUAACUGCAGUCUUCUAUAUGCCUUCUACCGCCAUAGAUAUAUAAUGGUAGACAUGGACCAAAUCAGCAUGGACCAUAUUCAUGUUCAAGAUAAGUGGUAUCUAUUGGGAACGCUGACAAGAUUUCUUAAAAUUUCGACAAGACCGCUAGUCAUGCAAAUCAAAAGCAAAGCAUAAACUGCACAAAAAUUAAAAGUUACAAGAAAUUACAACUCCUUGAUUUUACUAUAAAACCAAAUUUUUCCUUAACAACCUUGUAUUUCACCAGUUCUAAACGUCUAGGUCUAAUUAAGGGUAAAGGCUACGUACAGAAAAGUAUUUGAUUUGUUGUGAGUAGUCUGAUAUAAAUAGUGGGUACCGUUUUUGUAGCUCCGUGUAUUGAUUGCCAACGAAAAAAUUCUUGGUAGCUGAACUUCACAAAGUUUGUAGAAGAGUAUUUACCGAUAAAUUAGUUAGGGGAUCAAUCGUAGACUUAUCCUUAAUACCUACUGAUACUUUACUUACGUAAAGAAUCCGCACAUUUAAUUGGUAUUCGCAAUAGUAAAAACGAAAGUAAAUUCCCUCCGUAGUCUUUAAUUUAAAUUUAAUAAUUUCUUGCCGUAAGCCAUAACAGUCGAUCCGUUUGCUGCUCUUAGCACAGAGUCUGUAUUUCUUUUGUUAGAAUAUGAGCUCCGCCAAAUGUAAAAUGUAAUUUAUUCGCCUUAUCACUAAUAAAUGGGCCAAGAGCCAUCAGAUUAUCGUGCUAAUUGUCUACUGCCGCCACAACGAGCUUACCUAGUUUGUUGAAUGUUCCGUAUCUUUGCUAUGUGAACAAGAUUAUUCACAUAUAUUCGCAUUUUUGUGAUUUGUGAAUUCGAUAAAGUGUUUUCGAAUUGCACUCCAUAUAUUAUCUGCCAACUGCA